UGUAAUUAAUUCUAAUUGUUAAAGGUCACCUGAAAUGCAAAAUUCAUAUUUCUGUUUAUUUGACAUAUAAAAUGUAUAUAUUGCGUAGACUAUUCA